AAGAAAGUGACUGCCGCCCCGCACAGGGGCGAAGCUAAUAGACCAAUAACAACGCAAGUUUCACAGAAGCACGAGGCGCAUCAGACGGUUCAAAAAAACACCAAACCCAA
rnacentral:sRNA from 1 species